rnacentral:rRNA from 1 species
CACCUCUAGCAUUACAAGUAUUAGAGGCAUUGCCUGCCCAGUGACUUUCAAGUUUAACGGCCGCGGUAUUCUGACCGUGCAAAGGUAGCAUAAUCAUUUGUUCCCCAAUUAGGGACUAGUAUGAAUGGCUAAACGAGGAUUCAACUGUCUCUUAUUCUCAAUCAGUGAAAUUGACCUUCCAGUGAAGAGGCUGGAAUAAAACAAUAAGACGAGAAGACCCUAUGGAGCUUUAAUUAACUAGCCUAAUUAUAAUACUCUAACCCUAAUGGAAUAAAAUCAUAAACAUUAAGCUAACAAUUUUGGUUGGGGUGACCUCGGAGAACAAAAAAUCCUCCGAAUGAUUAUAGCACAGACAAACAAGUCAAAGCAAUCCACUACAUCUAAUUGACCCAAAAAUACUUUGACCAACGGACCAAGUUACCCUAGGGAUAACAGCGCAAUCCUAUUUAAGAGUCCAUAUCGACAAUUAGGGUUUACGACCUCGAUGUUGGAUCAGGACACCCCAAUGGUGCAGAAGCUAUUAAAGGUUCGUUUGUUCAACGAUUAAAGUCCU